UACGUAGGGUGCAAGCGUUGCCCGGAUUUACUGGGCGUAAAGGGCGCGUAGGCGGGAUGGCAAGUCGGUCGUGAAAUCCCUCGGCUCAACCGAGGAACGUCGAUCGAUACUGCUGUUCUUGAGGAUUGCAGAGGAGACUGGAAUUCCCGGUGUAGCGGUGAAAUGUGUAGAGAUCGGGAGGAACACCGGUGGCGAAGGCGGGUCUCUGGGCAAUUCCUGACGGCUGAGGCGCGAAACGUGGGGAGCAAACGGGAUUAGAUACCCGGAGUAAGUCCG
rnacentral:rRNA from 1 species